rnacentral:rRNA from 1 species
CCAAUAGCGUAUAUUAAAGUUGCUGCAGUUAAGAAGCUCGUAGUUGAAUUUCGGGACCAAUAUGUCGGUCGUGCUUCGGUACGUACUUUCAUUAUUGGUUUCUCCCUUCUGAGGAACCAUGAUGUCAUUAAUUUGGUGUCGUGGUAAAUCAGGACUGUUACUUUGAAAAAAUUAGAGUGUUUAAAGCAGGCUCGCGCUUGAAUACAUUAGCAUGGAAUAAUGAAAUAGGACGUUUGAUUCUAUUUUGUUGGUUUCUAGGAUCGACGUAAUGAUUAAUAGGGAUAGUUGGGGGCAUUAGUAUUCAAUUGUCAGAGGUGAAAUUCUUGGAUUUAUUGAAGACUAACUACUGCGAAAGCAUUUGCCAAGGAUGUUUUCAUUAAUCAAGAACGAAAGUUAGGGGAUCGAAGACGAUCAGAUACCGUCGUAGUCUUAACCAUAAACUAUGCCGACUAGGGAUCGGAUGAUGUUAAUUUUUUAAUGACUCAUUCGGCGCCUUACG